AGGCCCUACCGAGAAUCGAACCCGGGCCGCCCGCGUGGCAGGCGAGCAUUCUACCACUGAACCACC